rnacentral:rRNA from 1 species
UACGUAGGGUGCAAGCGUUGUCCGGAAUUAUUGGGCGUAAAGAGCUCGUAGGCGGUCUGUCGCGUCUGGUGUGAAAACUCAAGGCUUAACCUUGGGCCUGCAUCGGGUACGGGCAGACUAGAGUGCGGUAGGGGAGACUGGAAUUCCUGGUGUAGCGGUGAAAUGCGCAGAUAUCAGGAGGAACACCGGUGGCGAAGGCGGGUCUCUGGGCCGUAACUGACGCUGAGGAGCGAAAGCGUGGGGAGCGAACAGG